rnacentral:rRNA from 1 species
AUUGAACGCUGGCGGCAGGCCUAACACAUACAAGUCGAGCGGAUGAAGGGAGCUUGCUCCUGGAUUCAGCGGCGGACGGGUGAGUAAUGCCUAGGAAUCUGCCUGGUAGUGGGGGAUAACGUCCGGAAACGGGCGCUAAUACCGCAUACGUCCUGAGGGAGAAAGUGGGGGAUCUUCGGACCUCACGCUAUCAGAUGAGCCUAGGUCGGAUUAGCUAGUUGGUGGGGUAAAGGCCUACCAAGGCGACGAUCCGUAACUGGUCUGAGAGGAUGAUCAGUCACACUGGAACUGAGACACGGUCCUGACUCCUACGGGAGGCAGCAGUGGGGAAUAUUGGACAAUGGGCGAAAGCCUGAUCCAGCCAUGCCGCGUGUGUGAAGAAGGUCUUCGGAUUGUAAAGCACUUUAAGUUGGGAGGAAGGGCAGUAAGUUAAUACCUUGCUGUUUUGACGUUACCAACAGAAUAAGCACCGGCUAACUUCGUG